GAUGAACGCUGGCGGCGUGCCUAAUACAUGCAAGUCGAGCGAACGGACGAGAAGCUUGCUUCUCUGAUGUUAGCGGCGGACGGGUGAGUAACACGUGGAUAACCUACCUAUAAGACUGGGAUAACUUCGGGAAACCGUAGCUAAUACCGGAUAAUAUUUUGAACCGCAUGGUUCAAAAGUGAAAGACGGUCUUGCUGUCACUUAUAGAUGGAUCCGCGCUGCAUUAGCUAGUUGGUAAGGUAACGGCUUACCAAGGCAACGAUGCAUAGCCGACCUGAGAGGGUGACCGGCCACACUGGAACUGAGACACGGUCCAGACUCCUACGGGAGGCAGCAGUAGGGAAUCUUCCGCAAUGGGCGAAAGCCUGACGGAGCAACGCCGCGUGAGUGAUGAAGGUCUUCGGAUCGUAAAACUCUGUUAUUAGGGAAGAACAUAUGUGUAAGUAACUGUGCACAUCUUGACGGUACCUAAUCAGAAAGCCACGGCUAACUACGUG
rnacentral:rRNA from 1 species